UUUUGAGUUUUAACCGAUUAAUUUGCAAACUACUCCAUAAAACUUGCUUUCCAAGUAGUUUCCAAGGUGUUUAUGGAAGGAUUUUUGGAGGACAAAGCCUAAGCUACCAUUUUUCUUGAGUUUUCAAGGUAUUUUACCAAGAACCUCUUCUUUACUUCAAUUAAUUGGUAAUUAGUGGUUGAAAGUUGUAGUUUUGGUAGUUUAUGAGUAUAUUUCAUAGUUGGAAGUAGUAUUAUGGAAAUUCCAGUUUAAGGUUUCAUUUUUCCCCUUUCUGUCCGUUUCUGUUCGACCAGGUUAGAGGCCGAAUUGGCCUUAGCACAAAACAUGAAAGUUGUAGAGAAUGAUGUUUUCUAGUUGCCUGUAAAAUUUCAGCCCAAUCGGAGCAACGUAGCCUGUGAAAAGACCGAAAUACCCCUGCUGCCCUGUUUCUAUCCGAGAAUGAUAAUCAGCUUCUGUAAUUGGUUGUUUUGACCAGGAAUACUACUGAUUUGGUUGUUGACGUCUUCUUAACAUUUAUAGCCUUGUAUCUUAGCUUUCCAAUGGCUUUGGAAUCACUUCAAUUGGAGUUGUAGGUGCUGAGAUAUGACUGCAUAAGUCAGGACUGCUGCAGUACACUUUGAACUGGAAAAUCUGGGGUUGUUUUGGUAAAUUUGACCUAGUUAGGAUGAGAACUGGAAUGUAUUGUCUUCAUUAAAGUUGUAUAUAUUGAUGUGUUUGAGGUUCCUGUAAAAUUUCAGGCCAAUCGGAGUAGCGUAGCUCAUGAAAAGACGGAAUUACCCUUGCUGUCCUGUUUUUACCCGAACUUGAAAACUGCUUCAGUAAUUGGCUAUUUUGGUUGGGAUUACUUCUGAUUUGGGUUUUGGUGCCUUCUUAGGAAAUGUAGCCCCUUGAGUCCUGAGUAUGCCUGUAAAAUUUCAGGUCAAACAAGUUAGCGUAUUCUGAGUUAUAGACAAAACCCUCAGGCCUGUUUUAGACAUUGGUUUGUGUACGUUUUGAAUUUCAGCUUCUGCCCGUGAUUUUUCGGUUUUGAUCCCGUACGAACUGGGUGCUGAUCCCUUCAUAAUAAAUUUAGAUCUUGAUCUUAGCUUCGAAACGGUAUAAAGUACGCCGAAAUCUGAGUUCCGUAGCCCCUGUUAUGAUCAAAACAAUAUCGCUCGUCAGAACUGCCUUGUAUCUGGACAGUUCUGACGGGUACCUUGGCACUCGAUUUUCGUUCUGUUCUGAGUGGAUUCAAGUCUUGGCCAAAACAUCAAAGUUUUAACCUUAUAUUUCAGCUUUCUAACGCCUCUGGAAUUUCUUGAUUUCGAUUCCUGAGCCGUGAGUUAUGGCCUUGCAAACAGGGCCUGUGUGGUAAACCGCAAUGAAACAGCUGGCACUAUUUCGUGCAUUUUUGACCUAUACCUAUUGAGAUCUGGGUUGAGAUGUCUAAAGGGAAGUUGUAGCCCUUCCUCUUAGCUUCGCAACGGUACCUCAUGUACCUUGAUCCGAUACUCCUAGCCUAACUUUUGACCAAAACGGUUUGAGAUGGCAGUUGUGGCCGUUUCCGUUUGCCGUUCCGCGCGCGCGCGUGCGCCCCUUUUUGCCGUUUCCGCAAAUUACGUGUGCCAAUUUUGCCGUUUUACUUGUUUUGGAUCGGUUCGUAGCCGUUUGUGACAUAAGUGAUAAAAUCUUGUAUUUCAGAUAGUGGUGAGCUAGGCGGAGCCGGUGGGGCCCACUACUAGCGAUCACGCGCGAAGCAAUCUUGUACUACUUUUGGUAUUUUGAGUAAGUAUUCAGGCCAGUUUGGUGUGUUUUCUUUGCUAUGUGUUUGAGAUAUGUGAAAAGGGCACUUAGGCGAGGGUGUACUUUAUCGCACUCGACCUAAACCCUAAUUUGAAUGUAUAAUUGUACUUGGCAUAUGUAUAUGAACCUUUUGGAACCAAAACCCUAGAGCUUGUGGCUCGGGGCGACUUUCGAAUAAAUUUUGUGAAGUUUGCAAAGUUUGUGAUUUUGAAUAAUUUUGUGAAGUUUGUGAGUUUGGGGCGAACUCUUGACCUGGUUGGACUAUUCGAGCCGGUUAGGGCUUGGUCGAAGGCAGUCCAACUUAGUCUGAGGUCACCAAGUUUGUAGGUUCAUGUUAUGAACCAAUUUUGUAAAUCCGGUUCACCGAGAAGGUGACCAAGUUUGUGACCCGAGCUUGUGACUCAAGCUCAAGUUUGUGAUUUCGUUCGCCCGGGCAAGUUUGUGAGGUGACUGGCCAGUGAGGGUGAAAAGGUGUCGGUGGGUGUACAAGUGAAGUUCUACGGACUAUUAUUUGCAGUCGACGGAGUGUCGGCAGGAGAUCACGCAUGGCACAUGAGUUGGCUUUGGAGCCACCUGUAUCCUUAUUAUGUGAUGUUACUUUUCUGCUUUUGCUUUACUCUUAUUGUGUAACUGUUACGUGAAAUUUAUGCUUUCGCCCCUGUUUACUUACUAAGCAUAUAGCUUACCCCAUUCCUUUUGUUUUCCUUAGCAGGGGCCGACGCGGGGACUUUUGGCUCGUAUACUAGUAUAGUAAGAUUGGCUUGUAAUAGUUGAACAGUUAGGAUGUUUGUUUUUGUUUUGGUGGUUUGACUCGAUACUUUUGGAGAAUGCAAUUAUAACUCUUUUUGGGAUUUGUAUAUAGUAUGUAAGGUACUCUUUUGGAUUUUCUAGUUUUUAUCGCUUUAAGGUUUGAGUCCUGGCGCGAGCUAGGCAGGCGGCCCGCC
rnacentral:lncRNA from 1 species